rnacentral:rRNA from 1 species
UGCCAGCCGCCGCGGUAAUACGGAGGGUGCAAACGUUGCUCGGAAUCAUUGGGCGUAAAGCGCACGUAGGCGGUCCGUUAAGUCGGAUGUGAAAGCCCUCGGCUCAACCGAGGAAGUGCAUUCGAAACUGGCGGACUUGAGUACGGGAGAGGGUCGCGGAAUUCCCGGUGUAGAGGUGAAAUUCGUAGAUAUCGGGAGGAACACCAGUGGCGAAGGCGGCUCACUGGCUCGAUACUGACGCUGAGGUACGAAAGUGUGGGGAGCAAACAGGAUUAGAUA